UGUCGUAACAAGGUUUCCGUAGGUGAACCUGCGGAAGGAUCAUUACGGUGCAUCCGACCCACACGUGAACUGUUGAAAGGUGACAUGGUGUUUGGUUUCACGAUCAAGACCGGUCACCGCCCCUUCUUCCACACACACGAACAAUCGAGCUGAAGCGAUGGGGUAGCGGGCUUUUACAGACCGCUGCCUUUAACCGUGACAACUCUCAACAACGGAUGUCUUGGCUCUCGCAACGAUGAAGAACGCAGCGAAAUGCGAUACGUAGUGUGAUUUGCACUGUACGUGAACCAUCGAAUCUUUGAACGCAUAUUGCACUCGAGGCUUCGGCCAAGAGUAUGCCUGCCUGAGCGUCAGUGUGUACCCUCAUACCAAUUAAUUUUGGGAUGGAAAUGGACGUCCGAUCGGAGCCUGCGAAGGUUUCGAUGGGUCGGCUGAAAGGCAGUCGCGGUGCGACCGAUCGCACGAUCAGCGUGGUAGACCUAUUCAUAGGACGGAUCGCUCGGUCAGAUCGGUAACACUUCGAUCCGAAUACUGGUGCGUGUCUCGACUCCGCGGGCCCUCGCGGCUGGUGGAAUAAGAGCCGUGCCAUCUCACCUUUUGACCUCAGUUCAGACAAGGCUACCCGCCGAAUUUAAGCAUAUUACUAAGCGGAAGAAAAGAAAAUAACAAUGAUUCCCCUAGUAACGGCGAGCGAACCGGGAAGAGCCCAACUUGAAAAUCUGGAGGCUUGUCCUUCCGAAUUGUAGUCUAGAGAAGUGCCAUCUGCGGCUGGCUGGUCGAAAGUUCCCUGGAAAGGGACGUCAGAGAGGGUGAGAGCCCCGUCACGAUCGGUUAAGUCGCUCCACGAUGCGCUUUCGAGGAGUCGGGUUGUUUGGGAAUGCAGCCCUAAGCGGGAGGUAAAUUCCUUCUAAGGCUAAAUAUUGGCGAGAGACCGAUAGCGAACAAGUACCGCGAGGGAAAGAUGAAAAGACCUUUGAAAAGAGAGUUAAAAAGUACCUGAAAUUGUUGAGGGGGAAGCGAUUGAAACCAGCGGGUGCUCCUCGGGUAGGGUCAAACCACACGCCGAGGGCUGGUCAACGCGGGUUAGUCGGGCGGGAUAUUACGCUUGAUUGACCGAGGACUCGACGUUGGCGGAAUGGUUUCAAUCGGCCCGUCUAGAAACACGGACCAAGGAGUCUAACAUGUGUGCGAGUCGGUGGGUGACAAACCCACGAGGCGCAAGUAACCUGACUGAGCAAAUUCGACCGACCAUGAUCUUCUGUGAAAGGUUUGAGUGCGAGCAUACAUGCUGGGACCCGAAAGAUGGUGAACUAUGCGUGA
rnacentral:rRNA from 1 species